rnacentral:rRNA from 1 species
UACGUAUGGAGCAAGCGUUAUCCGGAUUUACUGGGUGUAAAGGGUGCGUAGGUGGCAGUGCAAGUCAGAUGUGAAAGGCCGGGGCUCAACCCCGGAGCUGCAUUUGAAACUGCUCGGCUAGAGUACAGGAGAGGCAGGCGGAAUUCCUAGUGUAGCGGUGAAAUGCGUAGAUAUUAGGAGGAACACCAGUGGCGAAGGCAGCCUGCUGGACUGUUACUGACACUGAGGCACGAAAGCGUGGGGAGCAAACAGG